GGAAAAGAAACCAACAGGGAUUGCCCUAGUAACGGCGAGUGAAGCGGCAACAGCUCAAAUUUGAAAGCUAGCCUUCGGGUUCGCAUUGUAAUUUGUAGAGGAUACUUUGGGUAAAACGCCAGUCUAAGUUCCUUGGAACAGGACGUCAUAGAGGGUGAGAAUCCCGUAUGUGACUGGAAACGUUGACCUAUGUAAAGUUCCUUCGACGAGUCGAGUUGUUUGGGAAUGCAGCUCUAAAUGGGAGGUAAAUUUCUUCUAAAGCUAAAUAUUGGCGAGAGACCGAUAGCGCACAAGUAGAGUGAUCGAAAGAUGAAAAGCACUUUGGAAAGAGAGUUAAAAAGCACGUGAAAUUGUUGAAAGGGAAGCGCUUGCAAUCAGACUUGUUUAAACUGUUCGGCCGGUCUUCUGACCGGUUUACUCAGUUUGGACAGGCCAGCAUCAGUUUCGGCGGCCGGAUAAAGGCUCUGGGAAUGUGGCCUCCACUUCGGUGGAGGUGUUAUAGCCCAGUGUGUAAUACGGCCAGCCGGGACUGAGGUCCGCGCUUCGGCUAGGAUGCUGGCGUAAUGGUUGUAAGCGACCCGUC
rnacentral:rRNA from 1 species